AUAUGCCUUGGUGGGAUUAGCUAGUUGGUGAGGUAAGGGCUCACCAGGGCGACGAUCCCUAGCUGGUCUGAGAGGAUGAUCAGCCACACUGGAACUGAGACACGGUCCAGACUCCUACGGGAGGCAGCAGUGGGGAAUAUUGCACAAUGGGCGCAAGCCUGAUGCAGCCAUGCCGCGUGUGUGAAGAAGGCCUUCGGGUUGUAAAGCACUUUCAGUCGUGAGGAAGGUAGUGUAGUUAAUAGCUGCAUUAUUUGACGUUAGCGACAGAGGAAGCACCGGCUAACUCCGUGCCAGCAGCCGCGGAAUACGGAGGGUGCGAGCGUUAAUCGGAAUUACUGNGCGUAAAGCGCAUGCAGGUGGUUUGUUAAGUCAGAUGUGAAAGCCCNGGGCUCAACCUCGGAAUAGCAUUUGAAACUGGCAGACUAGAGUACUGUAGAGGGGGUAGAAUUUCAGGUGUAGCGCUAAAUGCGUAGAGAUCUGAAGGAAUACCGGUGGCGAAGGCGGCCCCUGGACAGAUACUGACACUCAGAUGCGAAAG
rnacentral:rRNA from 1 species